UACGUAGGGGGCUAGCGUUGUCCGGAAUCAUUGGGCGUAAAGAGCGCGUAGGCGGCCAGAUAAGUCCGGUGUGAAAGUCAAAGGCUCAACCUUUGAAUGCCGCUGGAAACUGUCUGGCCAGAGUCCGGGAGGGCGAGUGGAAUUCCUGGUGUAGCGGUGAAAUGCGCAGAUAUCAGGAGGAACACCAAUAGCGAAGGCAGCUCGCUGGGACGUUACUGACGCUGAGGCGACGAAAGCGUGGGGAGCAAACAGG
rnacentral:rRNA from 1 species